GUCAAAAUUUAGAAAGUGUAGUAAUGUUUGAUUAAUUAUUUUAUAUUUAUAUACUACAUAAAAUAAUUAGUAAAACACAAUUUAUAGAAAUCAAUUUAAUGAUUUCAUGUUCUUAUAUAAAAUAUUAUAUUCGUAUACAAAGAAUUACUUAAGGAUUAUUAAUGUCUUAUAAUGUCCAUAUAUGUCUAAUAAGUUAUUUAUAAAAAAAUAAAUCAUUUAUAAAAUUAUCUAUCAUGGCUUAAAAAAUUAUUCCAUCUUAACUUUAAAUUAUUUUUAUGAGUUUAUAAAAUAUUUAUAAAAAAAUAAAGAUUCUCAUAUAUAUUAAACGAGAAGUCACUUAAGUGAUAUUUUCUUACGUGUCAUUUGUGAAGUCUUAAGAAAAUUGUUAUGAUUUGCUUGGUCGAAAAAUUUUAAUUUUAUUUAUUUUAGCUUAGAUUUAAAAUAAAAAAAUCUAGAACCAAUUAAUAUCACUUACAAAAUAAUCUAAAUUAUAUUACAAAUAAUGAUUAUGAAACUAAUUGUUGAAAUUAUAAAAAGAAUAACAACGUGUUAUUAAUUAUUUUUAUAUUUAUAAACUAAAUAAUAUAAUGAAUGAAACUUUUUUAUAAUUUUCAAUUAUUUUAAUUAUAUCAAAAAUAAAAGGUACGUCAUAAACUAAUUAUUAUCACAUGCCAAAUAACCUAAAUGAUAUUACAAAUAAUAACUAAUGGUAGAUAAUUUUCAAAGUUAUAGGAAGUGUAAUAAUGUUUGAUCAAUUAUUUUUAUAUUUAUAUAUUACCUAAAAUAAUGAGUAGAAAACAAUUUAGAAAUCGAUAUAAUGAUUUCAUAUUCUUAUAAAAAUAUAGUCGUAUAUAUAAUACUAACUAAUCUCUUAUAAUAUCCAUAUAUGCUUUAUAAAUAAUUAGGCUUUGAAAAUUGGACGAAUUAUAUUUAACGGGACAUGCGAGAACUUUGAUUUAAAAAAUGUUUUGCAUUUAAGUCAAAUAAUAUAGUGAAUAAGGUAAUGUUAUGAUUGAAAAGAAUUCUAAGAUGAAUAUUUGGUUUAUUAAUUGUAUGUUUUGUAUUACUAUUUAGAGAGAGAAAUAAAUAUUUAGCAAAUAUAUGUAAAAAGUUAGGAAACAUUAACAAAAAUUUAAUAAAAAGAAUGAAAUGAUAAUGAGAUAAAUAAGAAGAGUCACACGAGAUGCAUGAUAUGUGUUGGUGAAGUUAAUGUGAUAAUUACAUAUAUUAUUUCGCAAGCAUUUGUUAUUAGUAAAUAUUCAUGAGUUAUAUUUACAUCAAAUUUAUAUAAAUAUUACGACUGAUUUUCAAACUAUUUGAAGUUAAAAAUUAUACUUUUAAUCUUUCAAAGUAUAUAACAUUGUAUAUAUAAUAUAUAUUUUUAUACAAUACUUAUAUUCGUAGGUAACUACCUAGUAACCUUACAAUAAGGAGAAAAUUGGCUCCUAUACACUCAAAUCCUCCACUCGUAGUUAAGGCCAUGUACUCUCAUUAAGGAAACUAAAAUCGUUCUGAAUUUUCCCCUAUCUUCCCUAUGUCCUCUUGCAUACCUACGUUAGCUAGUGUCAGUCUCACAGUUCCUUUGUCUCUGGUAAAUCAUUAUGUCUGUUAACACACAUGCUUUUCUUCUCUUCUCUUUUCUUUUCUUCUUUCUUCUUUCUUCUUUCUUAUCUUAUUCAUUUUCGAGUUUUUCUAUUUUUUCUAUUAACAAAUUUUGAAUUGGAGAGAUGAUUCGAGAUUAUUAUUAACAUUGGUGAUGAUUAGAGAUUCACUACAACUCAUCCCCCUGCGUGCAAGCGCUCGAAGAACACCAACCUCUGCCAUCUUCGACGCCACUACCACCGAAUCAAAAUCAAUCUCUUUCUUUUCCCUACCAAUCCACCAAUGCAACAUUGUUUGAUACCAAAGAAUGAAUAUAAAAGAAGAUUCAAAAAUUGAGAAAUGAUGGCCAUGACGAGAUAAAUACGAGAAGGAGAUCCAUAGAGGAAGUAAAAUAAAAAGAGUGGAGGUGGGAAGAAAAAAAAUGUCAAAAGAGGAAAAGAAUCAAACAGGAAAAGGUGUCAGAAGAAAGAAAGAGAGUGUUAAAGAUGUAAGAGGGUGUAAGUGAGAUGUAAAAGGAUGUAAGAGGAGUAAAAAUAUCAAACCAAAACCAAAAUUGUAAGAGAGCUUACCUUUAUGUGAAGUCAUUUCUACUUCUCCAAUAUGGGUCCUAAAAUGGGGUAUUAAAAAUAUAUUCAAAUAAAUUUUAAAAUUUAAAUAGUAGUAAUCUAAAAUAUAUAUUAUAUUUUAAUUUAUACUAUAAAUAUUUUAAACAAAAAUAUUCUCAAUUAUUUUUAAAAAAAUUAAAAGUAAUUUAUAAAUAUAAGUUUUAUAUUUAUUAUAAUAAUAUAAUUUUUAAUAUUUUUAUAAUUAUGUAAAAUGUAAAUACUGCUAAUUUAUUAUUUAACCACUGAUGCGUUUGGUAGAUAGCUAGUCAUAAAUAUCAUGUAAAUGCACUAAUUUCUAUCCGUUGUAUCAGUCGUACAAAUUUUUUAGUAACGCACCGAUGCAGUUAUACCGGUCUGGCUCUAAAUCACCCUAAAAUAAGUAACUAGACUUCCAAGCCACCGCUAAUUAUCUAAAUGAGAAACCCUCCUACUGAUAAGUCUAUAUUUUAUUAAAAUUAAGAUAUAUUACUAAAUUAAUAUAUGGUAUAAAUACGCAAUAGAGAUACUCUAACAACGAUGAUGACAUUUGAACUCCAGGUUAGCUGUUGGGAUCAUCAGACGGUAUUAUGAGUAAAGGUUACUUUUCCUCUUCUAUAUCUACUUUUAUAUUCAGGAGGUGACUACACUGCCAAAUCAAGUGAAAUAGGGUCUUAAUGGUAGCUGGCAACACGUUACUUUCUUAUAUAUUAUUAUUAGUUGAAAAUAUUACAACAUAAUUGUAAACAAUGUCAUACUAGAUUUGACCCACCCGGACAAGUUAGUAAUUUAAAAAGUUACUUAAUAUAUUAUUAAUUUUACUGAAUAUUUUAAAAUGGUUAGUUUACUUUAAACUGAAAGUAAUCUCUAUUUUCAAUAUGUAGGAUUUGCUAUUUUUAUCACUGGUAAAACUUACAAUUAUACAAAAGAUUACAAUUAUACAUGUAUUUCAAAUUCUAAAAAUUACAACUAUAAAUUUCUACAUAUUAUCUAUUUUGGGUAACAGUGAUAUUUUGUUAAAAUAAUCUAUCCAUCUGAAAUGGCAAUCUCCCUUUCUAUUAACUACAAAAUUCAAGAAAGACCGUGACUUCGAACAAAGCUAUAGGCCGAAGAGGAAUGUAUUUUUUUAAAUAAAUUAUAGGUCAAAACUCUUGAAGCGACUCAUAAACACAAUGUAAAAUCUUAGUUGAUAAAGAAUUGUGAGGCAAGAAAAACAAACUAACAUUUUUAAAAUAUGUAUUGCGGAAGUACUGAAGCAGAAAAAAAGAUCAAGAACGACAUUUUAAUUAGUCCAUAACAUUUUAAGAAAAAGAUUUUUUUUUUUUUAAAGAAAUAGAGAUUUUGCAGCUAUCUAUACUCAUGCCACAAACUUCAACUUCUUAGUAAUCGGCCUCCUCAUGCCUUUGAUUAUACAAAGUUGAACAUAAAUAAGUCAUGAAACGGCAGUUAAAAUUUUCUCUUAAUAAAGAUGUAGAUAUAACCAUCAUCACUUUUGACACUAUUAAAAUGAGAAAACUGUCAUUUAAAUACUAAACUUUGUCAAAUUCUCCAAAAAAGUACAAACUUCUUAUUAAACCAAAUAAAUCACAAACUUAUGUUGACCAAGCCAUAAUACAUACACUUUUGGUCAACUCUUUUAAUCGUCAAAUCUCCGUUUAUAGUUCACAGGAACAAAUAUGACGUCGUUCUCAAAUUAGAACAAAGAACUAGAAACCCCCAAAUCAAUACUCGUUCUUUCUUCUUAAAACCCUAACUUCCAAAUCUGAUUUCAACUCUUUUCUCUGCAAUCGAUGAGAUGGAAUAAGCUUUCAACAUAGGUAGAGAACCUGCGCCUCGAUGUCCACCGCUUGUUGUUCGUGAUGAAAUAGGGUCUAUUGCAAUUAAAGGUGAUGAUGGAGAUAUCACGGUUUGGAAUUUAGACUACCACUGAUGUUGUUUCUUUUUGUUGUGGAUUGGGUAAGGUAGAACUUAUGUUGUAGUCACUUUGAUGUCGUUGGAUUCUUUCUUUUAUGCAAUUUUAUGUAUGUUUUUGAUUAGUCUCUAAUUCUUCUUAUUUCA